GACAAAGACAAAAAAAAAAAAAAGAAAAAACAGGAAAAUACCGGAUUCCCUUUCAGAAUGCAGACAAAGGCAGAGAAGAAGUAUACAUCGGAGCGACUGCUAGAUGCCUAAAGGAUAGGUUGAAAGAGCUACAAAAGGGACAUAAAAUAUGCUACCAUGAAGACGGUGCUCGCCAAAAGUGUGUAUGAGAACAAUUUAGACAUAAAAUGGGAUGAAUCUAAAAUAAUUAAACAGGUAUCGAACCGAGAUGAGUUACCUAUGGCAGAAACACUUCAAGUUUAUACAACUAGACAACGAAUAGCAGUUGUAAAUGACAGGCAACUGGACUCUAUGCAAAAACCAUGGGAAUAUCUUUUAA
rnacentral:lncRNA from 1 species